rnacentral:hammerhead_ribozyme from 1 species
GCACUGCUGAGGAGUUCCACAAUAGGACGAAACGACCGUCCAUUGC